CGAGAACAAACAUUUUGCGUCGCAGAAGCGAAAGCUAGAGCGAGCGGGGGAGUGAUUGAUCGAUUCAGGUCUUGGGGAUGGUGCGCCGAUUGAUACGCCAGACUACGGACGCUUGAUUGGUUGGAUUGGAUUGGAUUUGUAGUGCUUGUGCGAUUUGAUUGAACCUUGCGAAGGAGGUGAAGGGGGUGAGAGAGAGAGCGAGAGAGAUUUUCGAUGGCGCAGCAUGGAGCAUUCAAUCCCGGCUCUACUUCUCAGACCCCAGGGUCGCUGUCGUGGGUGCCGCUCAUUGUAUCGGCUCUCGUCGUAGCGCAUCUCUUCGCCCUGGCCUUUUGGAUCUACAAGUUGGCUUCAGAUAAACCUGAGGAGCGGCGGAAGGUACACUAAUCUUUGCAAGGACUUACGAACUUGCUUCCUGUUUGGAGGGCAGUCCAAUAUACUAUGACAGGUGUGACGACUUCAAUCUGUUUGCAAUAUAAGCUCUGUCGUUUUAGAUGUGGUAUUAGUUGCAGUGUUUUCUAGCAUAUUUUGGUCCCUUGGAUCAUUUAUUUCAAAUUGUAGCCAAUAGUUACGAACACAUCCAUCAAUACACUUGGUUACACUCCGAACAGACAUCGGUGUCCAUCUA